rnacentral:rRNA from 1 species
GUCUCAGUUCAGAUUGUAGGCUGAAACUCGCCUAUAUGAAGUCGGAAUUGCUAGUAAUCGCAGAUCGGCAUGCUGCGGUGAAUACGUUCCCGGGCCUUGUACACACCGCCCGUCACACCAUGAGAGUCGAUAACACCCGAAGCCUGUAGUCUAACCAUAAGGAGGACGCAGUCGAAGGUGGGAUUGAUAAUUAGGGUGAAGUCGUAACAAGGUACC